GCAAGCAAGCACAACUUUAAACCUGAGCUCCGCGUUUUUAGAACGCCGUGCGAGACGCUGCAAAAGACGCGACGCGCGUCUGUCUAGCGCCUGUUUACAUAGAAAACAUGAAAAAAACAGCGCAGAUGAAUGCAAAAAGAGGCCUGCGUGAACGUCCUCUUUACUGUUGUAUAUGGAGCACCUACAGCCAGGUGGAACAUCAGCGGUAGAACUUGACGCAUUAUGACGCCAUAGUUCUGAGGCGACCUCAGUGGAAUCUGUUCAGAGCAGUUCAUCUGUGACUGAAGUUGUUCAGACCAUUUUAACUGUUUGUGAUCGCAGUGAAAAGCCGAAAAAGCAAGACGCUGACAAGGCCAAGCAUUACUCCUACUUUUGAGAGCCCUUCCCAGACCCAGUUACCUCAAUUUACACCUUCCUUGGCUGGCCCAUCUUCUAACACGAGGCCUCCAUCCAGGCGCAUGAAGGGAAAACAAAAAAAAGUUGUAUUUCCUGACACUGGAAAUGCAGUGAAUUCUGUGACCAGCAGAAACGGCACCGGAGACCCUUUACCAUCCGUCCCGGGCAUUCCAGCAGUGCCAAAAGGCGACCAGAAUGGAAAGACCAUGUGCAGUGAUGCUGCGACCUUUUUCUCUGCCACUGACAGGGCAAGACUUUUUGGCAUCAGCAAGUGGUAUUAGAGUCCAGGGAGGAGAUGAAAUCAUCAGAAAAAAAGAAGAAAUCUGUUCAAAAGAG